rnacentral:rRNA from 1 species
UACGUAGGUGGCGAGCGUUGUUCGGAUUUAUUGGGCGUAAAGGGUCCGCAGGGGGUUAGUUAAGUCUGAUGUGAAAUCUCACGGCUCAACCGUGAAACUGCAUUGGAUACUGACUGACUAGAGCAUCGGAGAGGAGAGCGGAAUUCCAGGUGUAGCGGUGGAAUGCGUAGAUAUCUGGAAGAACACCAAAAGCGAAGGCAGCUCUCUAGACGAUUGCUGACCCUCAGGGACGAAAGCGUGGGGAGCAAACAGGAUUAGAUACCCUGGUAGUCCACGCUGUAAACGUUGUGAACUUGAUGUAGGAGGAUUUAACCCCUUCUGUGUCGGAGCUAACGCUUUAAGUUCACCGCCUGGGGACUACGGCCGCAAGGCUAAA